AUAAAUAAGCGGUGGAAAAGAAACCAACAGGGAUUCCCUCAGUAGCGGCGAGCGAACAGGGAUGAGCCCAGCGCCGAAUUCCGCGUCCCAAAGGACGUCUGGAACAUGUGGCGUUUAGGAGGAAUCUCUCCGGAGGCAGACGGUGUCGCAAGUCCCCCUGAACGGGGCUGUGAUCCAGAGCGGGUGCGAGGCCCAUAGCUGGUACUGUCUCCUUCGGGUGUCACCUCCUUGGAGUCGGGUUGCUUGGGAGUGCAGCCCUAAUUGGGUGGUAAACUCCACCUAAGGCUAAAUACGUCCGUGAGACCGAUAGCAAACAAGUACCGUGAGGGAAAGUUGCAAAGAACUUUGAAGAGAGAGUUCAAGAGUACGUGAAACCGCUCAGAGGCAAACGGGUGGGCCCACGAAAGCCGAAGGCAGGGGGAUUCAGUCGAGAGGACGUUGGGGCAAGGCUGGCUGGUUUGACGGACCGUGCCAGGCCGGGUCAGCUCCCGAGACCCUUCGCCUCUCGACGCAUUUCCCUCUGCUUAGUAGGACGCCGCAACCCGUUGGUGCACGCAGCCAUAAGGGAGAGCGAUGGAAGGUAGCCAGUGAGCACUUCUUCGGAGGUGCGAGCUGGUCCUAAGCCAGCUCUCCUGGUGCUUGUGGCCCGACGGUGGUCUCUUGUCCCUGAACGGGAUGUCGCCGAGCCCUUCUAGACCGAGCAGGUAGAAAUGGCAGGCUGCUCUCCGUGACCAAAAAACGGUUGCUCCACGCGUGCAGUGGACAACCUUCGGAGGCGGCUGUUGGUGCAUUUUCUCCUGCGCUGGGCACAGGCAGUUGGCGGCGAGUAGGUCGGUCACCCACCCGACCC
rnacentral:rRNA from 1 species